rnacentral:tRNA from 1 species
GCCGAUGUAGCUCAGUUGGUAGAGCAAUGCUUUCGUAAAGCAGAGGUCGUGGGUUCGACUCCCGCCAUCGGCU